GACGUAGGGGGCCAGCGUUGUUCGGAAUUACUGGGCGUAAAGGGUUCGUAGGCGGUGUAGCAAGUCGGGUGUGAAAUCUCUGGGCUUAACCCAGAGGCUGCUUCCGAAACUGCUGUGCUUGAGUGUGGGAGAGGCGCGUGGAAUUGCAGGUGUAGCGGUGAAAUGCGUAGAUAUCUGCAGGAACACCCGUGGCGAAAGCGGCGCGCUGGACCACUACUGACGCUGAGGAACGAAAGCUAGGGGAGCAAACAGG
rnacentral:rRNA from 1 species